GACAGCAGGGGUUGCUGGGAGAAAGUCCAGGACACCAGCAGGCCCUCUUCCUCCACCUCCUCCAGGCAGAUGACCAACUGAAAUAGGUCACAUGACUGAUGGAGGCCGAGGAAGGGAGCUGGAGGCUGUCCUCAAAGGUGAUCUGGAUGGAGCUCUGAGGAGAGGAGAGGGAGGGCCCGUAUCAUUAUGAGCACAUAAAAAGGAUUCAGAAUAAAAUAGGACGGUGGACUUCAGAAGUGAGGUUAGCUGACGUGGCUGUACAACCCAGUGGGGCCAUCAGGACUGUGGGGUGGGACAGGACACCAGGAGCAGGAUGUCCUGCCGUUCACAAGAGUGUCUCUCCUGCCUUCUCAGUGUCCCUCAACCACCAGAUUAGCCGCACCGUUCAAAGAGCUCAUUCGGCAGCUU